rnacentral:rRNA from 1 species
UACAGAGGGGGCAAGCGUUGUUCGGAAUUACUGGGCGUAAAGGGCGCGUAGGCGGCCUUCUAAGUCGAACGUGAAAUCCCCGGGCUCAACCCGGGAACUGCGUCCGAUACUGGAAGGCUUGAAUCCGGGAGAGGGAUGUGGAAUUCCAGGUGUAGCGGUGAAAUGCGUAGAUAUCUGGAGGAACACCGGUGGCGAAGGCGACAUCCUGGACCGGUAUUGACGCUGAGGCGCGAAAGCCAGGG